rnacentral:rRNA from 1 species
GGAGCGAAUGAAAGCUUGCUUUUAUGAGCUUAGUGGCAAACGGGUGAGUAACACGUAGACAACCUGCCGACAGGAUGGGGACAACAUUCCGAAAGGAAUGCUAAUACCGAAUGAAGUCAGAGGAGGGCAUCCUCCUCUGAUGAAAGAUGGCCUCUGAAUAUGCUAUCACCUGUUGAUGGGUCUGCGUCUGAUUAGCUGGUUGGUGAGGUAACGGCUCACCAAGGCGACGAUCAGUAGCCGGUCUGAGAGGAUGAACGGCCACAUUGGGACUGGGACACGGCCCAGACUCCUACGGGAGGCAGCAGUGGGGAAUCUUCCGCAAUGGGCGCAAGCCUGACGGAGCAACGCCGCGUGAGUGAAGAAGGUCUUCGGAUCGUAAAGCUCUGUUGACGGGGACGAACGUGCGGAGUGCGAAUAGCGCUUUGUAAUGACGGUACCUGUCGAGGAAGCCACGGCUAACUACGUGCCAGCAGCCGCGGUAAUACGUAGGUGGCGAGCGUUGUCCGGAAUCAUUGGGCGUAAAGGGAGCGCAGGCGGGCCGGUAAGUCUUACUUAAAAGUGCGGGGCUCAACCCCGUGAUGGGAGAGAAACUAUCGGUCUUGAGUACAGGAGAGGAAAGCGGAAUUCCCAGUGUAGCGGUGAAAUGCGUAGAUAUUGGGAAGAACACCAGUGGCGAAGGCGGCUUUCUGGACUGCAACUGACGCUGAGGCUCGAAAGCCAGGGGAGCGAACGGGAUUAGACACCCCGGUAGUCCUGGCCGUAAACGAUGGAUACUAGGUGUGGGAGGUAUCGACCCCUACCGUGCCGGA